CACAGGCUACCCGGUGAUAAAAGUGAGUUUAAAUAAACCGUCGAACAGUAAGAAAUUAUAUAAAUAGUUUGAAGGUUUCGGUACAGAAUGAUCAUUACGUACCAUAUUUAAAAGAUUUUCGUUCAUGAAUAUUGUGACGUACUGUGUCUUGGCACUUUGGGAAAUUAUCGACUGAAUUUUGUAGUUUUACAAAAAAUUAUCAACAACACCGAGAUUCGGAUGAAUGCCCGGGACUCUAAUACAGAUUUCGAAGAAUCUUCCAACGAAGGAUUAACACGUUUGGUUCACUAAAAUAUAUCUGGGAUAUCUCCUUUAAAAUGGUAUAUAUUACUGUAUUCCGCUAUAUCUAGUAGGUAUUUAGUGUCAGUAGGUAUCCUGCUAUUAGUGAUAAGGAAACAUGUAAAAUUGAAAUGGUAAAUAUACAGUGCUGUUUAGAGAUAGGUUGCCAGACAACGAAAGAUAAACUCAAAGCAAUACACAAAGGACCCAUGGACAUCACGCACAGACUAGGCUAUUCAUGACCCUGAACCUGUGCAAUUACUGAUAUGAUUGGUUACUUAAGCCGAAUGAUGCAACUGAUCAAUUUCCAAUCACGUGUAAUCUGAUGAUGUGUUGUUGACACAUAGAACCAGCUACACUGGGUUAACGUGUCAGUUUUGUGCACCAUUCCGGCUAAUGAUGAUGGACAAACGCCAUACAGUGUGCUAUGAUGGAAAAUUUUGCCCGGCCAACGUUUUCAUACCAACCGAUUGAAUAGACGCUGUUUCUUACCAGGACCUGCGCCCUGCUCCAGUGACAAGGCAAACAUAAACUGGAAACCCUGAACCACCAUAUAGCUUUCCAGACGGAAGAAAGGCCUGUUUUGCUAACUAACAUAUCCUUGCUGAAGAACGAAGAAAAGUAUUUUGUCUGUACAACUGUUGGUCUCCAAUACUAUCCAUCCGUCACACGGUACAAACCUAUAAGAAAUUUAUGGGCACUUAUUGAAGGACUUCAUCAAAUCCCCUAAUAAAUAUUUCGUCAACUCGGUUUAUCAGAUAAAUAAAUGUUAAUUUCACACUACAGCACGUACAGCCAUGCAACAUAUACGUCUAAAUACAAGUAGCUUAGUCGUCCGGCUGUGAAUGAAAUGGGUUAAUUAUAUACGACGGCCAUGUCGGACUCAACUUGAGUCCAAAUCAUGAGGAACAAAAUCACGUCCGGGCCCCAAAAAACAAUAUUUAUAUAUGUGUGCGGGGGCGUGGUGGUAAUAUUAGGCUGUGUGGAACAUGCUAGGAUCGAUUUGUAGCAUAUCUGACCCACGAUAUAUGUUGAAAACAGCAUUGAAACCGCGUGACGUUUUGCCAUUAAAACAGUAAUAUACAUCUAUGUGGUAGCUAUUUGCGGAAUUAUUUAAUAUGUCUUAGAUUAGGAAUGAAUGUAUUGAUUUGCUUGUCCCAAUUAAGCACCAGUUUAUAUAAAUUACUUUAAUGAAGAAAUCAUGUGAGAAGAAGUGCCAGGAAAAUUACUUAAUCUGAUCUGAGGAAUAUAACUGAAUCUGACUGGAUUCAAAAUGGCGAAAUUUCCAGAUGAUAAUAUUAAUGAUCCGAAAAACAGUGGCCUGUCCAAUCAAAUGCUAUUGAACAUGCACACAAAUGAAAUGAAAUGGGGUUUAACGUCCUACUGUUCUGCUCCAACUGGGCUAAUCGGGGAGGGAGAGGAAUGGGGUUUAACGUCCACGCGACACAAACUAGGUCAUUUCGGGACUAACAUAUGGUUUAAUUUUAUUUCAAUAUUUCGCUUGCGCGUAGGGGUCUUUAGCAGUGGGAGGAAACCGGUGGACCCGGAGAAAACCCACGAGAUUGGACAGGCGACCCUACUCCUUGUCACGUACAACCGGGGAUUCGAAAACUGGGCUAAUAAAGACGGGCAUAAGCCAUACAGUGUGCUAUGAGGGAAAUUUUGCCCGGGCAGAGGCACUGUGGACUACUCUUUUAUCGAAUUCCAACUGCCAAGGGAUAUUUUACCUGCACGCCAAUGUGUACGCUUGACCUCGGUGUUUCGUCCUAUCCGAAAGACUAGACAGCUGUCCUUGUCAGGCCCUCCGUCCUGCACCAGUGACAAGGGGAAACCAAGCCGGAAAUACCCGAUGAACUGUCCAGGCCAAUGCAGGGAUCGAACACGCGACCCCCAGGCUAGCUAGCCAUCGUCUUACCCACUUCGUCACUGUAGCUCCCAUUGAACAUGCACGAGUAGCCGAUUAUAUAAGCUGACUUAUUUAAUCAUUAAUCAAUUUUUCUAGUUUUAUCUAAAUAAACACCGACAAAUUCUAAAUAUACAUUUGACUGUAAUCUUAAAUGAAAUCUGAAGCUAUGUUGCCUGAUAAUCGUUAUUAACACGAUACAUUAUCAUAGCAUAUUUACCUCGUAUUUACAGCGUAGUUGUCUUAAAGGAGCUUAACUCCUAACUUAAUAUUUUACAUAAUAUUUGGAAUUAAAAAUUCAAUAUUGAUCAUUUUAAUCAAUAUUGAUGUUGCUAUCUUGGGGUGAAAAUAUGGUUUCGGGCGCUAUUUAUAAUGAACAAACAAAAACGUAUCCUACAAGACAAUGCAGAAGUCAUUAGUGAUGGCUGAUUAACAAACCGCAAAACGAUAAUAAAACAAGCGUUUGCCAUGCAAGAUACUCCCACAUUUUGCAAGAGAUGGAUAGAGAAGAAGCUAAAAUAAAAAGCGAUUUUUCGUGCAAUCAAGAACCAUAAUUCAAGAAGUUAUGAUCCGAUAUGCGCGAAUAUCGACGCAACCAAGAUAUUUGGGUUAUAAAGAUAUAUGUCAAGUUUCAUCAAAAUCGGAUCACAAUUGUGACUUCUAGAGGGUCCACAACCUUGAUAUACCAUAUAUACACUAUUUGCAUACGAGGGGUGGCCAUUUUGUCCGGCAGUUUUGGUCCGAUUUUCACGAAAUUCGAACUCAACCAUCAUUAGCGUGUAACGUUGAUAUAUUCAAACUUUUAUUUUUAAAUCGGAUAAAAAUUGUGACCUCUAGAGGGACCACAAGCUAAAAACGUGAUUUUUCGUACAAUCAGGGGUCAUAAAUCAGGAAAUUACGAUCCGAUAUGCGCAAAUAUCGAGAUGAACCAAGAUCUUUCGGUUAUAAACAUGCAUUUCAAAUUUCAUCAAAAUCAGAUGCAAAUUGUGACCGCUAGGGUGUCCACAAUCUAAAAUCGUGAUUUUUCGUAUAAUCAGGGGCCAUAAUCCAUGAAGUGAUGGUCCGAUAUAUGCUAAUAUCGACAGGAACCGAGAUCUUUGGGAGAUAGACCUAUAUUUUAAGUUUCAUCAAAAUCGAAUAAAAUUGUGACCUGUAGAGUGUCCACAAAUAAAUUGUGGACGGACGUCCGGGUGGACGGACAGGGGCGACGACAAUAUACGUCCACAUGAAAAUGUGGGCGUAUAAAAAGGUGUAGAAUGGACUAAGCAGACGCGAACAACUGUCGUUCAACUUUAUAUACAUCCAUGUUACAUUGAUAUGUGCUUUUAGACCCAUUUUCGUAUAAUAGAUGUAUUUUAAGGUUCCAAAGAAUAGAGCCACACGCCCUUAAAUUAUGUUUCCUGAUAAUUGGCUAUGGAAACUGAAAUAAUUAUUAGCAGACAGAGAAUUACUUAUACGUUCAUCCAUCUAAAGAUUAGCCUUGGUGCACAGUCUACAACAUACGGGGUUCAGUUUUCCCGAGAAGAAACGUAUACUGUUAAUCAUUUAUCAGUUAUACAAAGCAUCUACCAGAAGACCCCACCUGUAACUCAUCUGUCUAUUGAGAAUCAAUGUUUUGCCAACUGCUGAAUUCGAUUGUUAAGCAAACAAAAUUCUCCAUCUGACCAAUUGUCGGACAUAAACUAGGAUAUUAGGAGCGUUUUAAUGUUUUAGAUAUUUAAAGAUGCAUUAGGUUUUGAACUAAAUCUGCUUAUUGCAGCUUCAAAUGUUAUAUAAAUUAUUAAUGACGCAUUUAUUCACACAAGCCAGUAACUACACAUGAUCUCCCGAUGACCAUGAUAUUGAAUGGAGUACAGCACCCGCACCAUUUACUAAUUUCGUUUUAAAAUGGAUAACCGAGACUUUGUUUAUUAUCGCACAAAUUGAUUAUCGAGACUAUCUUUCAAAACUUCAAACACUCAUAACUUCGCUCAGAAUAAAGUAAUUUGACUGAGAUAUUCAAUAUAUUCAUUUUUAUUAUCUCUUUUUUAACUAUUAUUGUAAACAGGGCAAACUCUUUAUCUUACAUACUGUAUUUUAAAAGGUUCCGACUGAGAGUAUAAACAUUAUCAGAUGUAUCACUUAACGUCAGAAUUUUAACAUUAUAUGGCCGCUACGUGUUGCUAUAUUCCGUCCAUAUCAAGAUAAAUUUUAUAUAAUAGGCCCUACACAUUAAGCAUAGAUAAAAUCAGAUAUUUAAAGUUUACUUUAGUUCCUUAUCUUUAAUAUUCACUAAUGGUGGUCUUAAGAUAUUCUUGAUUUGGAUGUUACAUUAUAAUGUGUGUAUUGUAGAUAUAAAGAAGCUGGGUUAGUCGUUAUUAACCUCCCAAAUAUUUCAUCAGUGAAUUGGAUUUUGACCUGAGGGAUAUAUUCCAGAUUUACCAAUCUGACUGUAAUUUAUGAGCAGAAUGCAUUGAUAUCGUUGCAUAGACUUAAUGUAGAUAUAAUCGGCCAGACAUAACACAGUAGGUAAACUGAUGGCGUAGGUGUCAUAAUAAUCGGCUAGCAGUAAGUUAAUAAAAUAAAAUAUGCGUAGAUGGGACUUUUGUCUAGGUGGACACUAAGAACAAAUGCAAUUGCUAUCUUUGCAUUGUAAUGUUAUUGCAUUGUCAAGACUCGAGCAAAGACAUUCUACUAUAGCAACAUUGAAAUAAAGAGAUUAUCUUAUCUACAUAAUUUUGGUUCAAUCUUCUAAAUUACUAUGUUUAUCUAAAAUAACACUUUUCAGCCCGUGGUAGUUGAAGGAAAUGACAAUCAAAAUUUAGUUAGCCGCCACUAACUACAGUUCCUUGUAGCUUUUUGUAUAGUCUCAACAGGAUCUGUCCCUGCAGUAAUAUUUCUUUAAAAGCAGAACUACAAUUGGAAAUUCGAUACAUGAAGUCUAUAGGAACCAGUUUUAUGCUAAGUAGAAAAUAUAUCAUCCGGCCGAAGAAUACAACUUACUAUCUGGUGCGCCCCUGCAACAAAUCAUUAAAGCAAAAGCAAUGCUUCGUAACAACUUUUUUAGGAAUAUUCACACAUUCAGGAGUAUAAUCUUUCAGAGGCAGUCUCAGAUAUAUUUUACGGCAUGAAAAAAUUGGUUAAUAAAUGCACAGAAGCAUAUUUCCUCGAACUUGGCAGCUACCUCAAGCUCUGUAAUUCUUUCUCGAAGAAAUGCUGUUAGUUUCGAUAUCAGAUUAACCACAAGGCUCCAAAUCAAGCCAGUCAUACAAUUGAACAAUAACAGCUAAAUGCUUUUAGCCUCAAAGAUGUAUUAUGUAAGAUUUAGAUAAAGAGCUGGCCGUUCUUGCUAUAAGUUCAAUUACUUUAUUCUAAGCGAAGUGGGGAUUAUAACCCGAAGUCUUGACAAGGUAGUCUCGAUUAUUUAAUUUAACGUUAACUUAUUACAUGACGCGGUUGCUCUAAUGUAUUAAAUAUUACGACCACCCGAUGGUCAACAAAGUCGAUUAUGGGCUUGUGUGAAUAAAUACCCAUUUGAUAACUUAUAUAACAUUUGAAGUUAGACAAAAUGACCGCAUGGCAGAUUUCGCUGUUGUAUAAUGCAUUGGGGCGUUGAGUGGCCGAAUGGUUAACGCGUGCGUGUUGGAUCAUAAGGUCUGUCAUUGAGUCAAGUGGCGUGGUGGAUUUUCUUCGGGUCACCUGGUUGCCCCCUAACCCCAACCUCCACUGCUAAAAGCCCUACGCGCCAGCAAAUUAUUGAAAUAAAAUUGAACCAUAAUGUUAGUUCCGAAAUGACAUAGUUUGUGUCCAGUGGACGUUAAACCUCAUCUCUCUCUCUCUCUGUAUAAGGAUUAUAUAAAUAUAGCAGCAUUGGGUAUGAAACAGAUUAGGUGUGUAAUUUAAUCUGACUGGAUACAAAAUAAAUCAAUUUCCAGAUGAUAAUCAUAAUGAUUACUCUGUAUAAAUGUGUGCUAUUUAAUUGAAUGCAGGUGAACAUGCACGAGUAACCAAUUACCUAAUCUGAGUAUUUAAUCAGAAAUGUCCUCUUUUAGCAAAAUGAACAUUGGCACUUUUCUAAAAUAUAGUUGAUUGAUCGUAAUCCUAAUCUAUAAUGAAAUCUGAUCAAAGGGGAAGUUAUGACUAUUCUGCCGUAUUUGACACAAUACAUACUUCCUUGUUCUCUCAUAAAUAUCUGCCUGUCAGUAUACCUGAAAUCGAGCUACUUAACAAUUAGAAAUGAAUAUUAUAGUAUUACAAAAAUAGAAGAUUUAUUCACGCCUUACAGGUUUCUGAUCUUGUAUAACAUACACACUUACCAAAAUAUGCAAUCUAAUGCUUUUCCUCAAGAAUCUGGAUAUUUAUGGCAUGGAUAAAAAGAGUAUAAUACGGAUGUUGCAUAUUAUUUUCAUCUGUUUGGCAGACACAACUAUUGCAUUUGAGUUAUCUUAAUAAAUAUGAGCACAGAUAUGAAUAAAUGGAAUCGAUAAAUCGGGAUGGGUGGGAGAAAUCUAACGAUUUACCCGAAUGAGCAGCCCCCACGACCUCAAUGAACAAUUGCCUCAAAACUUAUUACUUGCACAAAUGCAAUAUCCAGGUUCCUAAAAGUAACUGUUAAUUAAUUGUACGCUACUUUAUGUCACCCGAGGCACCAAUCAGGAACGGGGAUUGAUUUGGUAAUGUACCUGUCUAGAUUUGUGAGAAUUAGGUUGUCUAUCAUUUGCCAUAUAUUCCUCAAACAUUGGUUCUAAGGUAAGGAUAUGAUAAACAAACGAUGGGAGACUAUUAAUGUCAUUGAUCAGGUUAUAAAUUUUUAAUUCCAGCUGAGAAUAUAAUAUAGGAUUAUAAAAUAAAUGAACACGAGUUACCGUCAAAAAUGUAAGAUAUGUUUGUUAUAGUCGCCUUUAUACCACUCGUAGAGAUCCCCUCUUGAUAAUAUAAUAUCCGGUUACUAAGUUUUGUUGUCUAUCACCCAUACAGAUAAACAAUGUUACAUUAGUUUCUUACUUUUAAUAUUCGACACUGAUAUAAAGCAGUUUAGCGUAGGUCAAAGUAAAAUAUUGCACUCUUUUAAUAUGGUGCGUUUUAUAUUUCCGUUUGGAUAGGAUCUAUACAUUAAAUUUCGUUUCGAAAUAUUAACGGUAUUGGCUUUAACUGCCGAACACAGUAUCAGUUGUAUCUCAAUUUUUCUCUGUCUGUGGACCUAAAAUUUUAAAUGUAAUCAUAUACCCACACCGCAAACAAUAUGAUUUAAUUAAAUCAAUACCUAAAUACUAGUCAUUUUAUUAUUAUACUUUAUUUGAACGUAACGUAACAGUAUGUGAUCGCAAAACCUACUAAAAAGAGAAACCAGAAUACACUAUGAUACCCGCAGAUUUAGACAGGCGACCAUUUUCCUUAUUUUUACUAGUAUAGAUAAUUAAACUAAUUCCGGUUAGACUACUAGGGCAUCACCCCCUCCCUACAACCUACAUCUUUUCAAAUCAGCGUAUAAAUGACUACAACACAAAAAUGAUUAUGUGUUACGCAUCAAAUUUUCAAUAAAUCGUUUCUUUUGCUUACACACUUUAAUCAGCCUCUAGAUGGUAUAGAAUUAUUACAUUACACGUUUGUUUAAGAAAUCAUCAAACACAAUGUUACUAUAAAUGGUGUUUACAAUA